CUGCCGCCCCUUUAAGAGCCACUGGAAUGUGAUGCUGCCACACCUUUAAGAGCCAGUGGAAUGUGAUGCUGCCGCCCCUUUAAGUGCCAGUGGAAUGUGAUGCUGCACUAGGGUAGCCUAGUGGUUAGAGUGUUGGACUAGUAACCGGAAGGUUGCAAGUUCAAACCCCCGAGCUGACAGGGUACAAAUCUGUCGUUCUGCCCCUGAACAGGCAGUUAACCCACUGUUCCUAGGCCGUCAUUGAAAAUAAGAAUUUGUUCUUAACUGACUUGCCUGGUUAAAUAAAGGUAAAAUAAAAUAAAAUUAAAAAAAUUAAAAAAGAGCCAGUGGAAUAUGAAGCUGAUGCCCCUUUAAGAGGGAAAGGGGGAUACCUAGUCAGUUGUCUACUGAAUGUAGUCAGUUGUCAGAAGUCCAACUGAAUCAGAGAGGUGAGGGGGGCUGCCUUAGUCAACAGCCACCUCUUCAGCUCCCGGGGAACAGUGGGUUAACUGCCUUGUUAAGGGGCAGAACGACAGAUUUCUACCUUGUCAGCUCGGGGAUUUUGGUAACUGGCCUUUCGGUUACUGGCCCAACGCUAACCACUAGGCUACCAAGCCAGUGGAUUGUGAUGCUGCUGCCCCUUUAAGAGCCAGUGAAUUGUGAUGCUGCUUCCCCUUUAAGAGCCAGUGGAAUGUGAUGCUGGUGAGCCAGGAGACUUCAUCUGAGCCCCAAUCUGCAUUGAGCGUAAAGCCGAGUGGAGCGGAGGGGAUCAACCUGGGCCCUGUCUGUUACAUUCAAGCACACUGCCAUCUCCCUCUGCAAUCUCUGCUUAUGGUUACCUGCCAAACAGCGAAACCUAUGCCUCAAGAGUAUUCAUAUGCAAAUGAAUGCUUCUUCCCGAAGUUGCAACAAUAACUUAGUGGAAGAUUGGCUUGACCAAUGACGUGACCCACAACUCCCAGACCAGACUGAGUGAGUCCUCUUGUCCUGAUUGAUUGGUAUCUACAACAACAACUAUAGGCCCUGGUCAAAAGUAGUGCACUAUAUAGGGGAUAGGGUGCUAUAGGGCCCUGUUCAAAGUAGUGCACUAUAUAGGGAAAAGGGUGCCAUUUGGUAAGCGUGACUGUGGGGUUGAGAUAACAUCUGAAGGG
rnacentral:lncRNA from 13 species